rnacentral:misc_RNA from 1 species
GAAAUGCGAUAAGUAAUGUGAAUUGCAGAAUUCAGUGAAUCAUCGAAUCUUUGAACGCACAUUGCGCCCCCUGGUAUUCCGGGGGGCAUGCCUGUUCGAGCGUCAUUUCACCACUCAAGCCUCGCUUGGUAUUGGGCGACGCGGUCCGCCGCGCGCCUCAAAUCGACCGGCUGGGUCUUUCGUCCCCUCAGCGUUGUGGAAACUAUUCGCUAAAGGGUACCGCGGGAGGCCACGCCGUAAAACAACCCCAUUUCUAAGGUUGACCUCGGAUCAGGUAGGGAUACCCGCUGAACUUAAGC